GUUGGAAUAGCUCAGUUGGUUAGAGCAUGUAGCUAUUAACCAUAAGGUCAGAGGUUUAAGCUCUCUUUCUAGAA
rnacentral:tRNA from 1 species